GAAAAAGAAAAAAGUAAAAAAGAAAUUCAAGAGAUGCGCCCCUGGUUUCAAACUGCUGAUUCCAAUAGUCCGAGUUCUAAUAGCGAUCCAACCGAUCGGAGAAUUAACGCUCUCGUUAGACAUCUGGUUGAAUCAUCUUCAUCCGCCAUGGCUGAUUCACUCUCUGCUUCUCCCACUUCCUCCUUGCACACUGAUUCGGUUUUCGCUCAUGUUGUUCGUGCUCCUGAA
rnacentral:misc_RNA from 1 species